rnacentral:rRNA from 1 species
UACGAAGGGGGCUAGCGUUGUUCGGAAUUACUGGGCGUAAAGCGCGCGUAGGCGGCCCGAUAAGUCAGGUGUGAAAUUCCUGGGCUCAACCCUGGAAGUGCAUUUGAUACUGGCUGACUUGAGUCCGGGAGAGGAUGGUGGAACUCCCGGUGUAGAGGUGAAGAUCGUAGAUAUCGGGAGGAACACCGGUGGCGAAGGCGGCUUCCUGGACCGACACUGACACUAAUGUACGAAAGCGUGGGGAGCAAACAGG